rnacentral:rRNA from 1 species
ACCUGGUUGAUUCUGCCAGUAGUCAUACGCUAGUCUCAAAGAUUAAGCCAUGCAUGUGUAAGUAUAAAUCUUGUACUUUGAAACUGCGAAUGGCUCAAUAUAUCAGUUGUAAUCUCUUCCGUAUUCCCUUACUACUUGGAUAACCGUAGUAAUUCUAGAGCUAAUACAUGCGUCAACACUCUGUAAGAGUGGUAUUUAUUAGAUAGAAACCAACCCACCUCGGUGGUAUUUUGGUGAUUCAUAAUAACUUUGCGAAUCGCAUGGCUUCUGCCGGCGAUGGACGGUUUGAGCUUCUGCCCUAUUAGCUUUGAUGGCUGGGUAUUGGCCAGCCAUGGCUUUCAUGGGUAACGGAGAAUUAGGGUUUGAUUCCGGAGAGGGAGCCUGAGAAACGGCUACCACAUCCAAGGAAGGCAGCAGGCGCGUAAAUUACCCAAUCCUGACACAGGGAGGUAGUAACAAUAAAUAACAAUGCCGGGCUUUUCUAAGUCUGGCUUUUGGAAUGAGAACAAUUUAAAUCCAUUAUCGAGGAUCAAUUGGAGGGCAAGUCUGGUGCCAGCAGCCGCGGUAAUUCCAGCUCCAAUAGCGUAUAUUAAAGUUGUUGCAGUUAAAAAGCUCGUAGUUGAAUUUCUGAUAGAAGGGAGCGGUUCCGCAUUCUUGCGGAUACUGGCUCGUCUUCCGUCAUCCUUGGGCUUAGUCUCGCUGAUAUUAACUUAUCGGCGUGUACGAUGCCCAUCGUUUACUGUGAGCAAAUUAGAGUGUUCAAAGCAGGCAUUUUGCCAUUGAAUAUAUUAGCAUGGAAUAAUAAGAUAGGAUUUCACGAUUUUAUUUUGUUGGUUUGCGUUGUGAAAUAAUGAUUAAGAGGGACAGUUGUGGGUAUUCGUAUUCAGAUGUCAGAGGUGAAAUUCUUAGAUUAUCGGAAGACGAACGACUGCGAAAGCAUUUACCAAGGAUGUUUUCAUUAAUCAAGAACGAAAGUAUGGGGAUCGAAGAUGAUUAGAUACCAUCGUAGUCUAUACCAUAAACUAUGCCGACUCAGGAUCGGCGGGUCAAUUUUUUUUGCUCGUCGGCACUGUAUGAGAAAUCAAAGUCUUUGGGUUCCGGGGGGAGUAUGGUCGCAAGGCUGGAACUUAAAGAAAUUGACGGAAGGGCACCACCAGGAGUGGAACCUGCGGCUUAAUUUGACCCAACACGGGAAAACUUAUCAGGUCCAGACAUAAUGAGGAUUGACAGAUUGAGAGCUCUUUCUUGAUUUUAUGGGUGGUGGUGCAUGGCCGUUCUUAGUUGGUGGAGUGAUUUGUCUGGUUAAUUCCGUUAACGAACGAGACCCCAGCCUGCUAAAUAAUCACGCGAAUGAUUCUUCAUUGGCGAUGGUUUCUUAGAGGGACAUGUUCGAACAACGAACAGGAGGAUUGGGGCAAUAACAGGUCUGUGAUGCCCUUAGAUGUUCUGAACCGCACGCGUGUUACACUGAUGCAUUCAACGAGCUAUUAACCUUGGCCGAGAGGCCUGGGAAAUCUUGGAACGUGCAUCGUGAUAGGGAUUGAUUAUUGUAAUUUUUAAUCAUGAACGAGGAAUUCCUAGUAAACGCAGAUCAUCAAUCUGCAUUGAUUACGUCCCUGCCCUUUGUACACACCGCCCGUCGCACCUACCGAUUGAGUGACUCGAUGAAGGCUCGGGAUUGUGGUUAUUGCUUUCAUUAGGAAUUACUGCGAGAACUUGUCUGAAUCUCGCCACUUAGAGGAAGGUGAAGUCGUAACAAGGUCUCCGUAGGUGAACCUGCGGAGGGAUCAUU